rnacentral:rRNA from 1 species
GUCCACGCAGUAAACGAUGAAUACUAGCUGUAUGCGAUAUACUGUAUGUGGCAAAGCGAAAGCGUUAAGUAUUCCACCUGGGGAGUACGUUCGCAAGAAUGAAACUCAAAGGAAUUGACGGGGGCCCCGCACAAGCGGAGGAACAUGUGGUUUAAUUCGAUGAUACGCGAGGAACCUUACCCGGGCUUGAAAUGCAGACGACCGACCAGGAAACUGGUCUUCCAGCAAUGGCGUCUGUGUAGGUGCUGCAUGGUUGUCGU